AUGUGGGUGAGCUCCUCAGGAGCCCUCAGAGAAAAUGAGAGACAGCCAUCCAACCCUUUGGCUGUGGACAGCCUCGCAGGACUUGAUGUCUGCACUUCCGAGCUGCCUUCUCAUUGGGCUGUGCCCAUCAGGAAGCUUACUUCUCUGACCUCAGAGGACAAGAGGGUAAAGAACUUUCCAUCUGCCCCAGGAAGGGAACACUACCCCACACCUCCCAUUAUCUUUAGGCGUUCCCUAGUUAUGCCCAAGAGAUACCUCACAGAGACUGGCAUUUGUUUGGAGUUUUCCUAGACUGAAGCGAGUGCUUGAGGCAGAUUGGCAACACCACUUCUGUGCGUGACAUCACAUAAAUGAGUUGGAAGAACCCUGUAAAGAUAAGAGCAAUGGUAGAAAGAAAGAAGGGUGCCGUUUCCUUUCUAAUAUCUGCUAUGAAUCACAGCCCCAAAGGAAGACAGAAAACAGACAGUGGCGUAGGGCUGAGGAGCAGGGCUGCCAUGGGGGAGGGGACCAGAUCCCUGAAUGGUGUCACCAGAGGCUGUGUAGAGUGGGAGGUAGAAGGCAGUCGGGCUGCCCUAAAGGGUGGGGUCGGGGGCUAGCCUUGACUGACAUCUAGUUUUGUAACUGUAAUUGCGUACACUGUAUAAAUCCAUCAGCACUGGUACCCGCUCAGUGUGCCAGCACCUAAUUAAUACUUAAUGUGAAUCCAGAACAGCCAGGAGCCUGGGGGAGUGAUGAUAACCCUUCCACCCCCAAUUUGGGGAUUACUUCAACCCUGGAGGACUCCUUCCAGGAAAAUCCUUCCCUUCCCUCUCCUCAUCUACCCAAAGUGAACGUAAGGGCUGAGGUUCCUAGCUGGAGCUUCCUGGGGUAGGAAGGUCUCUUUGCAGAACCUGCUUGGAAAGGCCUGACUCUCCAUGGGUGCAGCCGAGCUAUGGGCCUCCAUGGUUCUCCUGGGGGGCUUUUAAAGGGUGAGAACGUGGCAGCCAGGAUUUGGAGUAAUCACACUGUAACUCUAGUUUGCUAUCAUGUUGAAUGGCUUUGCUAAUGGGGACCAUGGCUCCUAGGCUGGAGGAUGAGAAAGUAUGGAGCUGAGGCAGGGGAUUGUUCAGUAUUUCACACUCAGUGUUCUUGUUUGAUGAAAGCCCCUACCAUCCUCCAUGAGGGCGUCUGAGCUGGAGAGUUUCUGGUGGAAGCUAGGAGCUGGGAGGGAGGGGGCCAGACAUGGUGUGGUCACUUGUGCUCAUUCUUCUAACAAUGGUGGUGGCGGCUGGAACCCAGGAUCCUGCAUGCU
rnacentral:lncRNA from 1 species